rnacentral:hammerhead_ribozyme from 1 species
UGCCGAAACCUCCGAAGGGAGGUCGUCCCAGGGUGGUGCCUGGGGCCUGACGACGGCAGCCGCUG